AUUCCAUGUUCCCCCUCAGAUUGUGUUAUCUCAGCAAUAAAUUCUACAGAGAUGUCCGGGGAGCUGCCCAAAGCCUGUAAACACAUGGACACAGUUUCUAAUCAAAGGGAAUUUUUUAGAGCAAACCAUUCCUAUUAUGUUUCUUCUAAGGUUACUGUGACUGGUCUGGAGACCCAACCUAAAUCUUCUGAUGAUGAAAGGAAAUGAAGCCCACCAAAGCCCUCUUGAAGAAAUUCAUGGGAAUAAACUCCUGCAGGGCAAUGAAGGUGAAGUGACUUGCCCAGGGUCACACACCUAGUUUUGAGCUCCUUGAACAAUUCCCAGCACAUGG